rnacentral:rRNA from 1 species
GGGCACGGGGGGAGGAAAGUAGGGGAUCGUAAGACCUUGCGCUUUUGGAGCGGCCGAUGCCUGAUUAGCUAGUUGGUGGGGUAAUGGCCUACCAAAGCUUCGAUCAGUAGCUGGUCUGAGAGGACGGCCAGCCACACUGGGACUGAGACACGGCCCAGACUCCUACGGGAGGCAGCAGUGGGGAAUUUUGGACAAUGGGCGCAAGCCUGAUCCAGCCAUGCCGCGUGAGUGAAGAAGGCCUUCGGGUUGUAAAGCUCUUUCAGCCGGGAAGAAAAGGUUGCGAUUAAUAAUCGCAAUUUAUGACGGUACCGGAAGAAGAAGCACCGGCUAACUACGUGCCAGCAGCCGCGGUAAUACGUAGGGUGCGAGCGUUAAUCGGAAUUACUGGGCGUAAANGNUCCCCAGCCG